rnacentral:rRNA from 1 species
GAUGAACGCUGGCGGCGUGCCUAAUACAUGCAAGUCGAGCGAACAGACGAGGAGCUUGCUCCUCUGACGUUAGCGGCGGACGGGUGAGUAACACGUGGAUAACCUACCUAUAAUACUGGGAUAACUUCGGGAAACCGGAGCUAAUACCGGAUAAUAUAUUGAACCGCAUGGUUCAAUAGUGAAAGACGGUUUUGCUGUCACUUAUAGAUGGAUCCGCGCCGCAUUAGCUAGUUGGUAAGGUAACGGCUUACCAAGGCAACGAUGCGUAGCAGACCUGAGAGGGUGAUCGGCCACACUGGAACUGAGACACGGUCCAGACUCCUACGGGAGGCAGCAGUAGGGAAUCUUCCGCAAUGGGCGAAAGCCUGACGGAGCAACGCCGCGUGAGUGAUGAAGGCCUUCGGAUCGUAAAACUCUGUUAUUAGGGAAGAACAAAUGUGUAAGUAACUAUGCACGUCUUGACGGUACCUAAUCAGAAAGCCACGGCUAACUACGUG